UGCGGUACUUGUCUUUCUGUGUCUG
rnacentral:piRNA from 1 species